AUUCCAUUAGCAAUAACUGCCUUACUCCAGACAAGUUUAAACAUGUUCUGACUUGCAUGUCACAUCACAAAUGUAAGUUAUGUUAUGAUCUUUGCAGGAUAAAGAUUGCUCCUCUGCAACUUUAAGUGAAUUGAAGAGAUAAGGACUUCAUUACCGUUAUGCACAAGUGACACAAAAAUUAGUAAUUUUCUAGUAUCUGUUGCAAUAGGUUAAGUAGUAAAGGAUAUGGUAAUGUAUGAAAAAGUGUCUUAGAUUGGUUACGUCAUGUAUAAGAAAACCUUUUCCCAGUUAGAAGAAAAUGCUAAAAUUUGUGAAAAGUACCAACACAUAAUAAGCAGGAGCCUGAAGUUGAAGAUACCCAGUCUGAAG